rnacentral:lncRNA from 1 species
GUACUUUUUGUGAUAUAAUAUACAUGAGAAAAAAGAUCGGUUGGGGAUAUAAAAGGUGUUUAAAAAAAUGUGUUUAUGAUAUAAGUAAAAAAAUUUUUGCAAAUAAGGCCCCGUUUGGAAGGUGAGUUUUUUGAGUGUUUGUAUAAAACUUUAUUGUAAAUCACUGUAGAAGUUGUAGAAAAACUUUUGUGAGAUGAAAAAACUUUUUUUCCUUUUCCUUUUCUUUCUUUCUUUUUCUUUUUACUCUUUUUUCUUUCUUUCUUUUUUCUUUUCCUUCCUCCCUUUCCUUUCCCCUUUCCCUCCCCUCUGCCCGCCACCCCUUUCCUCCCCUCUCCCCCACCACCCCUCUGCCUCACCUGCUGCAGCCUUAGUGGAACUGCAACUCCAGCUUUUCCGAUUUCCAAAACUACUACUACUACUACUAGUACUACUACGGAAAUCACUGGGCUCGUGGACAGAAACAGGUUUGAUGGAGCCGCUGCUCCUUUUCUUUUCCUCAUCAUUUGGAGAUGGCAGCUUUAUAGCUGCGGAGCUGCUCCUAUUGUUGCUGUUCAUCUUGAACUUCUUCUUUAUCCUUUCCUCCCUCUCCCCAUCCCCCUUCCCUCGCCCGAAGCAGCAACAGGAAAAUUUUUUUUUCCAAUUUUCCUUCUCUCCUUCUCCUCCCCUUCCCCCACCACCCUCACCCUCCCCCGGUGUGAUCUGGUCUCGCGACCAGAUCGGCUAGAGGGGAAGGGGAAGGGUGGUGGGGAAGGAGAGGGGGAGAGAGAGAGGGAGAAAAAAAAAGAGAGGGGAUCAAAAUCGGACAAAGGGGGAGGAUGGCAGGGGAGGAAGAGGGGGAGAGGGAGGGAGAAAAAAAAAAGAAGAUCGGCACCGGAAGAGGUGAUGGGCGCCGGAACCGGUUGCGGAGGUGGUGACCGGCAACGGAGGUGGUGUUGGGUUGGGGUGGGGGGAGAGAAGAAGAAAGAAAAGGGAAAGGGAUUUUUUUUAGUGUUUUAGAUAAUUUUAAAGUAUGUAGGUUAAAAAUUUUGAUAAGUUUUGGGGUUCCUGUAGUAAAAGUUGUUAAAAAACUAGUAUAAUACAAACUUGGCUUAAAACCAAGGUUCCAAACAGCCCCCUGACAUACAAACAAACCAAGUAUUUGUCUUCACUUUUAUACUAAUUGAGAAAAAAAAGAACAAACUUUACUUUGCAUCCUCGAACUUGUAUCAUUUUCUCAUCUUACACCCUAAACUUCAAUUUUAAAAAACCGUGUACUCUAAAUUCUCAAUUUUGGACAUUUUAUACCUUGAACUCUCAAGUUUGUUCUAUUUAAAACCAGUUAGCAGCAAUUUUUGCAAAAUUAAUCACAUAGAGGUUCCAAUAAAUCAAUAAUAAUGUGCUGAAAGUAAUCAAAAGGUGCUAUGAUAUGAUAACAAAAAUAAAAUAAUAUAUUAUCAUUAAUUUGCACCAUCCUUCAUCUCGUUAAUUUUGCUAACAAUAUUAGUAUUGAGACCAUAUGAAUAAAUGAUAAUAUGCUAAAAAUAGUUCAAAGAGUUAAACAAUCGUAGUUGGAACAAAACGAUACAUUAUUAUUAAAUUUCAUUGCCCUUUAUCACGUUAAUUUUGUGAAUGUAAUCAUUGAUUGGAUUUAAAUGCGACAAAUUUAAGAAUUUAGGGUGCAAAAUAUCUAAAAUUAAAGUUUAGGAUGUAAAGUGAGAAAGUGAUACAAGUUCAAGGGAGCAAAAUAGAAUUAAUCCAAAAAAGGAAAAAACAAAGAUUUUAAAGCUACUUCAUAGUUUGCUUUGUAUUGAAUUACCAAAAACAUUAAACUGAAGAUAGAUUUGAUAAUGUUUUACUCCCUCGAACCGGUCUUCUUAAUUGGAGGAGGGAUGAGUCAAGUGAUUCGAAUGACGGGAGUGUAAGUAAUAGCUUUAGGUUCGAACUUUUUCGCUUAAACUAAAUGAAUAAAUAAAUAAAUAGAACCUCCUUAAUUUUACUUUCCUCACUCAACCCUAUUAACAGAAACUUUUAAUCCCCUUCAAAGAUUACAUCAACAUUUACAAAUACGAAAGAUGACAUGCAUUUGUUUUGGACACAAAUGGCCUUUAUAGAAUUUCGCAUUUGAUAUCUUAUCUUAUUUUAUUUCUAGUCACUUGCCCUAUCAUUUUGAUUAUUUAUAACUUUUAACUAUAUGAAUAUUUUUAGAAUUGUUGCAUUUUCAUUUUGAAAAAUAUUAUUUGCACUCCAAUUUUUGUUAAUCAUACUCUCAUUAUCAUUUUAAUCGUAUAGUUUUUAUUUAUUACAUUAUAUAAUAAAAUAAAUAGUGAGAGUGCAAAUGACAAAAAAUGAAAUGCAAAUAACAUUUUAUUUUAUUUUUUUACAAUUUAUGUACUAUUUUCGAGGAUAUUAUACUUGACAAUGACAAUAACGUCCACUUCUUAAAUUUUACAGCAACAAACUUCCAUUCUUCGAAGAUAUUUCCUCUUUGGAGUGCUUCAAAGUUUCCACACACACAUUCAAGGACAUCGGUAAGCAGAUAAUUCCCAGUUUCCCACCUUUAAAAUUUCUACUACUUAUCAGCUCGUUCUUAAGCAAUUCAACAAAUAUAUAAUAGUCAUGCAAGUUAGUAUAUUUUUGCUAUGAUUUCCCCUGCAUUUCACCACUCUUAUGUUUCUUGAAUUUCGUCUCAUAAUUCCUGUAUGGCUGUGAUUUUGGUCUGCUCCUCAACAAUUUGUUGUAGUAACUUCAGUUGCACAGGUGCAACUGAGGCUAUACCAACUGUUACCAAACCAUACGGUUUAAGUUACAAUGUGCCUUUAGGAGGGACAAAGAUUGGAACUUCGAGACUUUUCCCAUGUGGGUCUAUGUUGAGGUGGAAGAAAAUCAUGAAAAAGCAAGUGGAUUUUGCUGGGUUUGGAAUGAAAAGUUCAUAUGAUGUUGUCGUUGUCAAUGGAAAACCCAAAAAGAGUAUGUCUCCUGAGGAAGUUUUGGCGGUUUUGAAGUCAAAAUCUGACCCAAAUCAAGCCUUUUCUUUCUUCAAAUCCGUUGCUGAAUUGCCUACUGUAGUUCACAAUACAGAGACAUGCAAUUACAUGCUCGAGCUUUUGAGGGUACAUAAAAGGAUAAAUGACAUGGCUGUGGUGUUUGAUUUGAUGCAAAAGCGGAUAAUAUAUAGGAGUUUGAAUACCUACUUGACUAUAUUUAGAAGUCUUAACAUAAUUGGAGGGAUUCGGGAAGUAGUGGUAGCUAUUGAGAGCAUGCGAGAAGCAGGGUUUGUGUUGAAUGCCUACUCGUAUAAUGGAUUGAUACAUUUGGUUCUUAAAGCUGGGUUUUGGAGGGAAGCUUUAUGGGUAUAUAGAAGGAUGGUCUCAGAAGGGCUUAAGCCUAGUCUUAAAACCUACUCAGCACUGAUGGUGGCAUGUGGGAAGCGAAGGGAUACACAAACAGUCAUGAGGUUGUUGGAUGAGAUGGAGAGCUUAAAAUUGAGACCCAAUGUUUAUACUUUCACCAUUUGUAUUAGGGCACUGGGAAGGGCAGGUAAGAUCAAUGAGGCAUAUGGUAUUCUUACAAAAAUGGAUAAGGAGGGUUGUAUGCCUGAUGUAGUGACUUACACAGUUCUUAUUGAUGCUCUUUGUGAUGCUGGAAAGCUUGACAUUGCAAAAGAAGUUUUUGCAAAGAUGAAAUGUGGAAGGCAAAAACCUGAUCAUGUAACUUACAUCACAUUGCUGGAAAAAUUUGCUGAUCAUGCAGACCUGGAAUCUGUUAGGGAAUAUCUGUGUAAAAUGGAAGCUGAUGGUUAUAAAGGGGAUGUUGUUACUUUCACGAUACUUAUUGAUGCCUUGUGCAAAGUGGGAAAUGUUGAUGAAGCAUUUGCCACUUUGGAAACCAUGAAGGAGAAAGGACUAGCCCCUAAUCUACACACUUACAAUACCUUGAUUGGUGGCCUUCUGAGAGAAAAUAGGUCUGAUCAGGCAUUUGAGCUAUUUGGUAGCUUGGAAUCAUUAGGCGUGCAGCAUACUGCAUUCACAUAUAUCCUGUUCAUUGACCACUAUGCAAAAUUAGGUCAAACUGACAAGGCUCUUGAAACUUUUGAGAAGAUGAAAGCUCAUGGAAUUGCUCCAAAUGUUGUCGCUUUCAAUGCAUCUCUGUAUGGCCUUGCAGAAUUGGGUCGGCUUAAGGAGGCAAAAGAUACUUUUAAUGGAAUGAAAAGGAGUGGACUUGUACCUGAUUCCAUCACGUAUAACAUGAUGAUAAAGUGCUUUGCCAAUGCAGGAAAAGUUGAUGAGGCUGUUCAGUUACUGAAUGAGAUGAUUGAGACUGGCUGUGAUCCAGAUGUUAUCAUUGUCAAUUCUUUAAUUGACAUGCUUUACAAGGCUGAUCGUCCAGAUGAGGCGUGGGCAAUGUUCAGACAGCUUGUUCCUUCAGUUGUCACGUACAACACUUUGUUGGCUGGACUGAGAAAGGAGGGCAAGCAUAUAGCAGCUUUUCAGUUAUUCGACAGCAUGAGUGCACGUGGGUGUCCUCCCAAUACAAUAACAUUCAAUACUGUUUUGGAUUGUCAUUGCAAGAAUAAUGAGGUUGACUCAGCUGUGAAGAUAGUUUAUCAAAUGACAGAAGUUAAAUGCUAUCCUGAUGUUUUUACGUACAACACAAUCAUUUCUGGGUUAAUUAAAGAAAACAGGUUGAGGGAAGCAUUCUGGUUCUACCAUCAAAUGAGAAAAGUGUUGUACCCUGACUCUGUAACUUUGUGCACUCUCCUUCCUGGUAUCAUGAAAGAGGGUUUGAUUGAUGAUGCUUUUCACAUUGUCAAGGAUUUUGCUCACCAAGUUGAAAGUACGUUAGACAGAUCUUUCUGGGAAAAUCUAAUGGAAGGAACUAUUUGUGAAGCUGAAUUGCAUUACUGCAUUUCAUUUAUGGAAAAGUUACUUUCUGAUUGUCUGUGCAAAAAUGAAUCGAUCAUGAUACCUAUUAUUAAAUUUCAGUGCAAGCAAAAGAAAGUCCUUGAUGCUCAUAAAUUGUUUUUGAAAGUCAAAAAGUCAUUUGGGAUAUUACCGACACUAGAAAUACAUUGUGUCCUAAUUGAUGGCUUCUUGAAUUUCAUCAUAAAGAAUUGGCUUGGGAACUUUUCAUGGACAUGAAAAAGGCUGGUUGUGCUCCUGAUGUUUCCAUAUACAAUUUGUUGCUUGAUUAUCUUGCGAAGUCAGGAAUGAUUGAUGAACUUUUUGAAUUGUAUGAAGAGAUGCAUCAUAGAGGAUGUACGCCUGAUACCGUAACGCACAACAUACUCAUCUCUGGUCUUGUUAAGGCUGGUGACGUGUACAAGGCCAUAGAUUUAUACUAUGAUAUGGUAAGUGGAGGCUUUUCUCCCACUCCCUGCACAUAUGGUCCUCUUCUAGAUGGUCUUCUCAAACUUGAAGAUUUGGAUGGAGCAAAGAAAUUGCUUGAGGAAAUGAUUGAUUAUGGAUGUCUACCUAACUCUGCUAUAUACAACAUCCUUAUCAAUGGAUUUGGUAAAGCAGGGGAUGUGGAAAAUGCAAUUUCAUAUUUCAAUAGAAUGCUUAGGGAGGGAAUAAGACCUGACUUGAAAUCUUACACCAUUCUUGUUGAUUGUCUUUGCAUAGCUGGAAAGGUGGAAGAUGCAAUUUACUAUUUUGAGGAGUUAAAGUCAUCUGGCCUUGAUCCCGAUUUGGUUUCUUAUAACCUUAUGAUUAACGGACUUGGAAGAUGGGGAAAAAUUCAUGAAGCUUUGGCUCUUUUUAGUGAGAUGCGCAGCAGAGGAAUUUCUCCUAACCUAUAUACCUACAAUUCUCUAAUUCUCAAUCUUGGAGUUCUGGGAAUGUUGGAGGAAGCAGGAAAGAUGUAUGAAGAACUAAAGGUAGCAGGUCUUGAACCGAAUGUUUUCACUUACAAUGCUCUCAUUAGAGGGUAUAGCAUCUCUGGGAACCCUGAUGGAGCAUAUGAAGUCUUUGAGAAGAUGAUGGUUGGGGGAUGUAGCCCUAACAGCGGGACAUUUGCUCAGCUACCUAACUAAGUCCAGAUUACAUGCUUAUAGGCGAUGCUUAUGUAGCUUACUUUUCAUCUCCAUCCCUGGGGACACAGCUGCAAGGUAUUGCGGCUCCUUUGAGUCUCUUUACAUCGUGGCAACCUUUGAUCAGUACACCAACAAGGAAACAAUUAAAAGGACAUUACUUCUUGUGUUCUGAUUGAAUGUAUAGAUAUGUGUACUCUACUUAAGUGAUGUAGUUUGCUAGGUUGACUUCAUCUCAUUUAAAGUUUGUUUUAUCUGUAUACUUGUGUUAUCGAUGCAGGAUUUGAAGAGUAUAUUUGUACAGCUUCUUCCUGGUACAGGAUUUGAAGAGUAUACUUGUACAGGAUUUGAAGAGUAAUUACUGGUUACAAGGGUGUUAUGAUUUCAUCCUGUUGCAGUCAAAUCAUACAGCUUCGUUCUGGCUCUAUUUGUUGAUUCAGCUACAAUGCCUUGAAAGGUUCUACUGCACAGUCAUAACUAUAAAGUUGAUGUACAUUUUGAUGGUUUCUGUCCAUUAUGAAUAACUGAUCCUGUAAAAUAUACACCUUAAUUCUCUGAUGUAAUAUGCAAAAACUGUUUUCUUGUCUAUCUGCAUUUUCAGUCUUAUUUCUAGUAGAUGUACUGGGUUCUGGUUCUUUGUGUCAUAAUCUUCAUAGCCUGAAGAUAUUUGUCCCAGUGAAGUGUGUCCUUGGGCUUUGGUUGAAUAGUGAUAUAGAUCUACACUUGGCUCAUAUUAGCCACUGGAAAAUGAUAGUCAUGAUUUUAAAAAUUAUAGUUUUGUUGCUCAGACUUACAAUCGCUUAAGAAGGUUUUCUCUGCUUUAAAUUUCUUUUGUUGCCCAAAAUUUUUUGCCUAAACUUUUGUUGCCUAAAAUAAUUAAGCAAUUCAUCAAAACGAGAACCCAUGUGGAUCUGAACAAGACUUGCAGACCAAUAACCUAAAUCCAGAAGUUCUUGAAAGAAAAAGAAAAUAAAAUGCGCGUAUAUGUGCUGUCAAGAGUCCUAUGCCAAUCUCUGGUUCCAUUAGAAUAGGCCAGAUAUUUAGAUGUACUUUGUAGUUUGACUUUUCUUCUAUUCUGCCAAUUGAUACGCCAAUACUUCGAGCAUGACAUGAUAUUAUUGUAUUUAUCUGUUGCUUUCAUGAUACAGCUAUUAGCUUGAUGGGACAAAAUGCAGGUAUAAUUUUAUCGCUGCCUGAAAAUAUGAAGAUAGUAAAAUCAUGUUCAAGUAACCUAAAUCACAUGCUCCAGUCGGUGUAUAAUCACAGAGGAAAAUGCACAGUUUUUCACAACCCAAAUCUGUAAUUGUGAUUCAGCAAGAUGAAGUGAAGAAACCAGAACAAAAAUUGAGCUUCUAAGCUCAGUUUCUAUACUUAUAAUAGACGUGGACUCUAUUGGCUUGCUGAAGUGGCAGGAGGGCAACAAAAAAUGGUCACUCGUUCACCCUUCUAUAUGAGUAUAUACUGAAAGCAGAUCAUAUUAAACACACAUUGUUUAUUCUAUUCUCUAUAUUGGGACCCUUUUUCUCAGUGUUGGAACUUCAAAUCCAUAUUUAUGUGUCAGCAUAGAAGGGGCAGGGAGGGAAAUAACACAUUCAGAAUGAUUUCCAUUUUCUGUUGUAUUAUCCUGUCUUCCUGGAAUCUAUGAAGUAUCUUAACGUCAAUAUUUGUUGGCUAAUUUCAUCUGCACAUGUAAUUGAGCUUUUUAUUCAGUUCUCUGCUACUGCUGUACUUAUAGUCUCUUAUUGUUAGUCAAUUUCGUUCAUGCCAUUUACAAGUAACAUACAAAAGUUGACUGAAGAAUGUCUGCUUUCCAGUCCUUGAAAGACUUGGUAGUACUGGCUCAGAUUUCUUUUUCUUCAGUACAUUUUAGCAGGAUACCUGUCGCAUGUAUCGAGUUCUGACAAAGCUGUGGAGACUACUGAUGUCAAAGAUCUCUUCACAGCUCUGACUUGUUAGUUGCGGUUGUGUCUUUUUUCCUUUCUGCUUCUUCCAUGACCAAAGGAAAGCUUGUAAAGGUUGCCGAGAGAGUAUCCUUACCUCUCUCGACUUCAUACAUCUGUAGUCUGGACUUGCUUUCCAGAUUACCAACCUACUUUACCCGUCAUAUAUGGAAACCAACAAUUGCUUUCUAAGUUGAGAGAUGCUUGAUCACUUGGGAAGGAGCUCAAAAAGGCAUAUGAAAGAGAGAGAGAAAGGGCGGAUCUUGUUAUCAUUUCUCUGUGACUUGUAGCAACUUUUUGCUUUGUUAAGGUUAGUGAUGCCCUUUUCAUGUAGGACUGCAUCUUCUUUGGAUGAAUCCAUAUUCAAAACUUCAAGUCCUCGUAAUGAAGAAAUAUUAUUGCAUGUAAUUUGAACUUGGAUUUCCUGAAUGAAGAAUGCAAAGCAAAAGAGAAGGUGGAGGGGAAAUGAUUUCGUUUACAUUGUUUUAUUCUAAAACAUAAGUUCAAGUUUCAGUCAUUUCAAGUUGAGGUAAAAUCCAAGAUAACCAAAAGAUGAUUGAUGUCAGGAUUUAUUCGUUAACUUUUUCAUUUUGCUUAGGAUACGUACUCCCUGAAACUUAUUUUAGCUUAUGAUGCAUAAUCCCUGAAAACCAACAUAAGAAAAUUUUUUUACCUCAGAUCCCAUGUUCAUUUCCAACCAGAAAUCUGUAGAAUUCAUAAUUUCAAACAAGUAUUUAUUCUGCUCGAAGGACUGCAUGGUGACUAACUUUUGCCUUCAAAAAAGAACAUGGAAAUAUUCAAGAAGUUAAUUCUGGUAAGGAGAAAAGGGUUGAGGAGAACUACGUAUUAUCAUUGUAAAUUGCUUUUAUUCUUUUGGUGUGGGAGAGGGGGGGGGGGGGUGGGGGAGGGUUUCCCAUCUUUCCUUCCAAAAAAUGGCAUGACUUUCGCGAUGUUAAUAAGAAGUUCAAAAAUUAAAACCUGCAAAGAUCCCCUCCUAGCAGCUAUCUCUUGAUUCUCCACAUAACAUCUUACAGGUAUCGAAUUAAAUCUUACAUCUGCUAGGAGGAAAGAGACACACACAUAGCGCCAAUUGAAUCAAUGCACUUGAAAGCAUUACAAUGUAGCUCGCAUAAGCUUUUUCAUCUCAUUAAGAAGUAUACCAUCUGAAAAAUAUUUAGGUAAAAAUUACUACAUACUAAUGGCUGGUCAAGCUGAACUCUGUAUAGUCAUGUAUUGCUACAAGAAACAGAUCUAGAGCCAUGAGCAAGAAGCGAUGGCAGUGCCUAAACUGUGAUGACUUUCAUUCGCUUGAUGUGUGGAAGUGUGGAUGUGGAUAUCCAAGCCAAGCAAAAGAUUCCCGUAACAUUGUUAGUAUUCAUUAAAAUGAAUGCCACCAAGUUUCCACACAAUAUAUGUUGUUGCAAACAUCACCGUGCUGAUGAACACAAAUGAAAAGACAAUUAGAAACACAUCAAAUCCCCCAGGAAACUCAAACGUCCAUCCUGGUUUUGGCAUCCCUCUUUUGCUGUCAUCAAAUAAAUUUGGCAGGGGCUUCAGGAAGGCCAGAUCUUUUUCCUUUGUCACUUUCUUAAGAGCAUCAAGCAGUUUGCUUCCUAGCUCUGGCUUGGAUGCCUUGGACUCUGUAUAACGCCUAAGGACCCGAGCUGCCCUAAGUCUCUCUCUUGCGGUUAAUGGAGAUCGUUUGAUGGCUGGCGUUUGAUUAGAUGAAGGUGAUUCUUCUUUAGAGUUUAUGGAAGCUAGCGACCCAUUAUUAACAUCAGAGAGCUUGGGUACUGAACCUCCUUCAGCUUUAGAUUGAAUUUCAUCACCCCUUCCAAAGAAUCCGCGAGUGGGAGAUCUGUGGCAGAGGAUUGUUCAUCUGAAUCUGAUGUAUUAGCAAUAUUAAACUCAUUUUUACCAUUGUCUGUCAUGACACGAUACCAUUUGCAACUGAAGAGAAAGAACCUUCGUUCCAAUUUCGUCAUUAGACUUGGUAGCCCGCCUAUUCUAGAGUAGAUGUCAAACAAGAAGACCUCAUCAUUGAUGUCCUAAACUUCCUUGAGGCACUCGGACAGUUUGCCUGCAACUUGUCUUUGUUAAGAGCCAACAUGCAACAAUGUCCCAGAAAGGACUUAAUGAGAAAACAAGCAAAUUAAUCAGACGAGAUCAUGAACCAGCACAAAGAAUGAUGAACAGAUAAUCAUUUUUAACUUUCAAGAGCAGUUGAGAAUCUCCAGAAAUAUCCCUGGAUAUCAUCAAAUCCUUCAAAUUAUAGAUUGUUAAGCCACAUAACAACAGUAGCUCUAUCUUCGAUUGCUAAUGCAUCAAAUUUACAACUACUUAUUCAGAUAAGGCAUACUACAAAAAUGUCUUAAUUCUUUCCCUGGAACAUGCAACAAAAACGUAGCAUGCCCAAAUUUCAUAGACAGGCAAACUUUCUACUGCAGAGUUAACCCCAAAAUGGGUCAGCUAGAACAAAGUUAGAUUAAGAUAGAACCAAUUUAAGAAAUUCAUACCUGAGGCUUCUUUCAUUAGACAGGAUCAAUUUCACAUACCUAAGAAUCAACUUACUGAGAAUUCAAGUCUUUAUGUUAAUUAAGCCAGAUGGCAAAUUAAUAUUACCUUUGAACACAAAUUUACCAAGAAGCAAUAAAAGUACAAAGAAGCACUUGGACGAGAUAAUGGCCUAUAAUUGGCAAUGAUUGUCAAACAAGCGCUUCAGUCAAGAGUUGAACUUGUCUUCAAUAACCUUAUACAUGUUCAAAUAUAUCUCAAAUACUGUACUUAGCAAAUGAAAAUCAAGAUGAAACUCUGCAGCAAUAGAUCUAAGAGGUCCACCGAUUGCCUAUAAUAUGCAAUCCCAAAAAAAAAAAAAGCAUCACAAAUUGAAACCAAUGCUAUCAAAAAGAACACUAAUCAACAACCAAAGAGUGACCUAAGCAAACCAUCUAGGAAACAAACAAUAAAGUACAGUAUUUGAUAUAUCAGUAACAGAUCACCGAACACUUGUUAAGGUUAAAGAGGUCUCAAGUAAAAUUGGGACAAUAAAGUAGAUGCUUCACUAACCUUCAAAAGAAACUCAAACAACAGUCAUGCAACCAAUAAAGAUCCACCUGAAAUAUAGUGAAACAUAUGUACAUAAACUAUUAAGGACAUAUUCUGGCACCCCGAUUGUGUGUAUUUGAAAUAGAGCUGACCUGCAAAUUGAAUAAUUCGGUGCUCAAGUUCUGAGCAUUUGAUAGAAUGUGAAUCACUUGAAGCCCCAUAUCUCAGAUGAACCUUGCCAAACAUACAAGAUAUGAACAGCAGCAAUCCUGUACAUGGACAAAGGAUGAAUAAGUAGAAGUGAAGACAUGGUUCCACCAAUGUCACAAAUCUGAAACUUUAGGAGGCCAUAAGUACAAAACAAACAAAAAUCCUUCAAUAAACUGUUCCCAAAAAGUGGAAUCUAUUAAAUGAAAAGUUGAAAAACUGUUCCAACUCUAUAAACAAAGUAAGUGACCAUAGUAGGAAGGAGAUGGAGCUUUAAACCAAACAAACAAGAAAACUUCAAUAGACAGACAAAAUCACUUAAGCAGGCUAGUUUGUUUGCAAGAAGAAACAAGAAUGAAUAAAGGUUGAUAUCAAUACCAUUUCCAGUUCACUCAAGGAAAAAACUGAAUCCUCCACCCUUUUUUUUUGGUCAGAAACAUGCUAAAUGAUUAGCUAUACAUUAUUAGGUAAUGCUACUUUUCAAAGUUAAAAAAAAAGAUAGAGGUCAAAACAUCCCAUCUCUCCAUCAGUCAUCAGCACCGACUUGAUAGAUAUAUAUAUGAACACUACAUUAGAACUGAACCCAAAAUCCCAUUUUCCUAUCAAGUAUCAAGAAUUCAUUUGCCAAGUAAAUGACAAAAGUAAAAAAAUAAAUUCAAAAUCUUCAUAGCAUAUAGAAACUUAGCAAAGACACAACAUUGACACACUAUAAAUCAUCUGGCCAAGAAUCUCGCAAAAGAGAAGUUUAAAAAAAAAAAAAGCAACAGGAAAAAAAAUGACAAGAAAAAAACUAACCAAGAAAUGCAAGUUUGAGAGGGGGUGGCAGCACCAGGGGAAGCUGGAAGUUGCUCCCUGGAACUGGCUGGUGCAUGAAAGACUCUUCCCCCUUCGCUCCCUCUGAGCCCUUGGCGGGAGCGUGUUAGGGGUAUAAUAGAUAAGGGGGGCUGGACAACCACAGUUUAGUGGUCAGAAAUUAGCCUGUCUCGACAAUAGGGGAGGAACAAUCACAGUAGGCAAAAUGAAUGUAUUCAUCGCUCGCUUUUUCAAGUACUUAUUUCCCUUUCCACGUUCAAAUCAAUGCAAAAUUACCCCUUACAUUCUUUAAAAUGUAACAAUUUAAAUUACCUAUUUUGUGCUUUAAAAUUUUGAAAAUUUUUUCUAUCUUUUAUAUUUAAAACGAUGUAUCAUCAUCACUUCUGAUAUCUUGAAAAUGUACAAGUUUCAUUCUAAAGUAAUUGUAAUAAAAUUUUGGGUUAAUUAUAGUUAAUCCCCUUAAGGUAUACCCUAUUUCUCACUUUACUCCUUAAUCUUUAAUUUUUGUCACAUAACCCCCUGUAGAACAAAAUAAGUCUUCCAUUAUUUUGACUUUUCAUUUAGGAAAAAAAGUCUCAAUGACCCUCCAACUUUUAUUCAAAUAAAGUUUUAGCCCUCUAUCAAUAAAAAGGAAAGUUUUGGUUUUCGAUCUAACAAAAAAGCAUGUUUGUGGCCUUUUUAUUAAGUCGGGUAGUUAAGAUUGACGGAAACCAUUGUUAUGUGAGAAACACGAUCAAAUAUCAAGGACAUUAUAGUCUAUGCAGGAGCGUUUACAGAGUAAAAAGGCAGUAAAAGUACUUUGACCAUGGAAAAUCGCACAAUUCCCACCCCUUUUGCUUCAAAACCCUAAUGUGAAAAAUCAAACAAGAAGAUCCAAGUGCAGCAAAAAAGUGAUUAUGGCCGGAGUGGCUGUGAAGAUGUAAAUGGAGUGGCAAAUGCAGAGGAGAUAUGACUACUUUGAUAUAUAUCUCGUUUACGGUAAUUCAAAAUCGUGUUUACUAAUCCAUUUGUGUAUAAGAUUUGUUUAUAUGCAUGUGUAAUUGAAGGGAAAUAAGAUUUGUUUAUAUGUUUGGGUAUGGUGAUAUUGGGAAGCUAGGUGGUCCAAUCUGGGGGUUCCAUAGUAGAAAUUAGCAUUCAAAGUUGUAUUCCUACCUUGUUUAUUGGAAAUUGACCAUGUCAGACAAAAGGGGUUGUAUAGAAAGUUAUAUAUUUUAAUGGCUGAAAAGUGACGACUUUAUUUCUUUAGGGUCUUUAUUUUGGCUGAAUUUGACUAAUUGACUAUUUCAUUCGUGAGUUUUUAUGUGUUUUUUUCCCUGUGUUGUUGACCAUUUUAUCCCAAUUGCCAUUAUAGAGCCAGAUUCUGAAUUGUUUAUUAGUCAAAUACAUCAUGGGGUAGAAUUCUGUGGAAACACUAUGUAUGGUGUGCUAACAGAGAGGUAGACUAUGUAGAUGUUUGUGAUGCUGAAAGAAAGUUAACAGUUGAACUAAACAAAAUGGUAAAGAAUUUAGGACAUGGUAGAGUUGCCAUAAUGUACCACUACCUUGAACCAAACAAGGAUCUAGCAAAUGGUUUAAGAGAGUUGUACACCACUGAUAAUGUUAACAAACUUUGUGCCUGGGCUUAUAAGUACAAGGUCAUGGAAGUCUAUUGUAACCACCAAACAGCUGAAGAAAUUAAUAGUUACAAGUCUCCCUUAGUGGUGAAACUAGCACAGAAGAAGAAGUGUUGUGUUUUGAUUUUAGGGUUGGAUGAAAAGGGAAGUAUAGUAGGGGAACCAUCUUCUCAUGUAGUUCCUAAAAGGAGGCUAUUCAUUAAGGACUCAAGUAGAGGACAAAGUAAUGGUAGAAGAGUAUCCAAGAACCAGCAGCAUGUAGGAGGCUCAAGUGGUGGACAAAGUAGUGAUGCACAAGCAGCUAACAACCAGCAGCAGCACAUAGGAGGUUCAAGUGGUGGUCAAAAGAGUGAUGCACACGUAUCUAACAACCAGUAGCAGCAUGUAGGAGGCUUAGGUGGUGGACAAAGUAGUGAUGCACAAGCAUCUAACAACCAGCAACAGUACAUAGGUGGCUCAAGUGGUGGACAAAGUGGUGAUGCACAAGCAACUAACAACCAGCAGCAUGUUGGUGAGACAGAUCCACAAUAAGACAGAUACACAAUAAGAAGGAAGGAGCAAUCAGCAGCUAUUGAAAAUGAAGGACAAGAUGGAGAUGAUGAAGAUUCUGGAUCAAAAAAUAACUGUGACAGAUUUAAUGGUGAUGUAGACUAUUGUGGAGAUGAGGCACCACUGCUUGAUGAUUUGACAUUUGAGCUAACCCAAUGUACAAGCACAUUAGAAGAAGAGCAAACUAAAAGACCUUCACAGCAAGGAAGAACUUCAACUCAAUAGGCUACCACUGAACAGGUUCAAACACAAGAGUCAUCGCAACAGCAGAAUCAGCCCAAUGCAUAGCAGCAUCAAACACAACACAAAGAAACAAGUAAGGAGAAGGAGAAAUACACAACAGCAAUAGCAAACCCAAGAAGGAUUUGAAACAUAUGCAUUAAUUGGGAGAGAUAUAAUCCAGAUCAUCUAAGUAGUGAUGAUAAUUCAUCAGAAGAAGAUCAAGAAGUUGAUCAAUUUGCUGGGGGUAUAAAGAUGUUUCAUGGGAAAAUUUAGAAUUGGUACCAGGUUCGAGUUAGGGUUGAAAUUUGAGGAAGGCUACUAUCUAGAAAUAUGGUAUUAAGAUAGGAAAGCCAGUAUAUACAAAGAAAAAUGAACCAAGAGGGAGAGAGACAGGUGUAAAGAUCCAUGGCCAUGGUAUGUGUUUGUCUUAGUUGAAAAGGCACUUGGCACGGCAGAUUUGCUAGUGAAGACCAUGUAUGACAAGCUUAAAAACUGCAAUCAUGCUGGAAAAAUGAAAAUUUGAAAGCCAAUUGGUUGUCAAACAGGUAUAUGGAGAGGAUUAGAUCAAAUAUUCGUAUGCCAACCGAGAGAUUAGACAAAGUGUAAGUGAGGGGUACAAUACAUAGAUUUCUAAAUCGGUGGCUUUAAUGCAAGAAAAAUGGCUCCCAAAAUGAUACAGGGAUUGGUUGCAAAAAAAAUGGCUUCCAAAAUGACACAAGGAUCGACUAAAAACAAUACAAGAAAAUUUGGGAGUAUUGUGUUGAGAUAAAGAAAACUCAUGAAGAAAGUACAAUGGAAGUAAUGUUUACUCCAAUUAGAGAACUUGGGGUAAUUCAAAAUUCAUGAGGUUGUACUACUGGUUAGGGCCAUUGAAGAAAGGAUUCAAGGAUGGCUGUAGGCCAAUAAUAGGCCUAAAUGGUUGCCAUUUAAAAGGGAUAUAUAGAGGGUAGUUAUUAACUGUCAUUGCUACAAUUCGAAUAAUGGGUGAUGGCCCAUUGCAUGGGCAUUGUAGAGAGAGAGAGGCAACUAAGCAUUGGGCUUAGUUUUUGAAAUAUUUAAGUAAGGACUUGAAAAUCAAAAACCAAGUUCCACUAUAACUUUAUAUCAAAUCAGCAAAAGGUAUGGAUAUUAGCAAUUGCUUAAGCUUUUAACUUUUUCCUUAAAAUUUGUAAAACUAACAAUUUAUUGAAAUUCCAUUGCAAGGGCUAGACAGGGCACUAACAAAAUUCGUCCAAACUGUAAGCACAAGUACUUUGUUAAACUUUCAAAUUUAUAUAUUUUUAUCAAGAUUUUUCUAUUAUACUUUGUAAAUUUUUUUAUUUAACUUUGUGGAACUUUGUGAGGAUAGAUAUUAUGUCCAACGUAUUUUCGCAAUUUCAAGAAAACACAUCCAGGUUUGGCAGGCAAAAAGAGGUUGUGGAAUAUAGUAUGUUGCACAACAAUGGAGCUAUACAAAAACUAUGGAAGAACUUCAAACUUUUGAUAAGGAGGCAUAUGAAUGGGUCAAAAAGCUCCUCAUACUUGAUAUUGGUGCAAGGCAUACUUUCCAACUCACACAAAGAGUGACACGAUAGUGAACAAUUUAUGUGAGUCCUUUAAUGCUCAUAUUAUUGAUUCUAGAGACCAAUCUAUCAUCACAAUAUUGGAAAUGAUAAGGAGUAUCUUAUGCAGAGGAUAUAGAGAAAAAGAGCUGCAAUGGAAAAAUAUAAGGGGCCCACUGGACCUUUGAUUUCUAAAAUAGUUGAGAAUAGGGUCAAACAUUCAAGUCAGUGGAUGCCAAUUUGGAAUGCACUACAUGACUACCAAGUCAAGGGUCCAAAAGGGGCCCAAUUUGUAGUAGAUAUGCAAAAAAACUAUUGCACUUACAAGUUAUGGGAGGUUAGUGGAAUUCCAUGCUAUCAUGCUGCCACCUUAUGGGAGAAGAGGUUCCUCACAAGUACCUGGAUGGUUGUUAUAGCAUGGGGUUUUUCUUUAAGAUUUAUGAGAACGUGUUGCAUCCAAUUAGUGAUGAGGAUCAUUGGCUCCCAUCCAUCACGAUUGUAUUGGAUCCACCAACUCAACCUGGUAAGCCUAAAAAAACCAGGAGAAGGGAUGCAACUGAGGGGAGAGAUCAUGGUAGAAGAUUGAUGAGGAACAUUGUCAUUCGCUAUAGAAAAUGUGGUAAGGUUUGACAUAAUGUAGCUACGUGCAAGAAGCCUCCCAAUGAAGAAGGUCAAGAAGGUGCUAACAGGUCAUCCGAGCUUAUUGGUGACAAGCAGUAAAAGCAGCAACCAACCAAAAAAAGGACUACAGUGAGUGUAUCAUAUCUGUUGAUUUUUCACUAUUAUCCUUAGUCAUGGACUUACAUAUAUCUAUUUACAAAUUGGUAGGAACCAACAACCAAACCACUUUUCUCAAAUUUUGCAACAAAUAGAGUAGUCUUCUCAAAUUUUGCAACAAACAAAGCAGUUCUCUUAAAUUUUGCAGCAAGAACCUCAACAAGAUCAUGAUGAAGCUGGGCAACAACAAUCACAAUAAGGCCAACAACAAUCUCAUCCAUAGCAGCAACCAUCUAGAAAACCUCAACUAGAAAGCCACUUACUGAUGCAGAAAAGGAAACCAUCAAUGCUAACUAUGCUUAUUUGGGUAAAGAACCUCUAUUCAUAGUUGGCAACUGGAGGGAGAAAUGGAGUGGAAGAGGCAGGGCCAGAGGAAGACAAGCUGGAAAAGGAAUAGAAAGAGGAAUAGCUAUUGGAGGGGAACUCAGCCAAGAUAUUUCAUCUAGAGAGCAGUAUUCAUGGACACUUUUUGACUGACUCUUUUUGUCUUAUGUUGUGUAAACUUAUGGUGACUAUUCAUGACCAUAUGGGAACAUGUUUUUAUGUCUAGUAGUUUCUUUUUGUGUCCAGUAUUUCCUUGUUAGUGACUUACUGAUUUUGUUUUGGAUUGUAACCAACUUUUGAUACUUAGAAAUGUAUGGACAUGUCUAGUUAAUACGAUACAACGGUUUUUAUCUACUUCAUCUUAUUGCACUAUUUUUAUGAUAUUUUUCUAGCUACGAUAAAAAAUCAAUUCAUUGAGUUGAGUAAAUAAACUGCAACAUUUUCAAUUAAGAAGAAAAGACAGGAAGAUAUUUCAUUCAGGCAACCAAAAACACACAUUUCAUUACAAACUUUGCGAAUACAUCAUACAAUUAUAAGGAAAAAAAUUUACAUAACAAGGACCAAUUUGGUUCAUCUUCUUCACAUAGAAAUUCAAUUCAACUUGGUUCAUCUUCUUCACAAGCAACCUUCUAUUUGCUGAAAACUAGCAAGGUUUCCACUUGUUUGGCUCCAAAAGUCAGCAUCGUGUUAAAAAAAACAAUCUUAAUAGCAACUUGUUGACCGAUUUCUUGCAGCAGAUUUUUUUCCAAUUCUUUCACUUUCUCCCUCAACUUUGCUACUUUCCUUUCAUUUCUUCUUGCUAUUUCUUCAUAUGCACCUCCGUCCUUUUCAACUGCAUUAAUCCUUCGAAGAAGAUCAGGUAUAAUCACCGCCAAUUGGUAGCAUAUCUCUCGUCGAUCCAUGCCCAAUAUAUGCAACAACAGUCCAUGCACACAGCAAACUUGCAAUCAGGAUUCCUUGAGGUCCACGAAGUUAUCACCCUGGUCUCUUGUCACAUCUAUACACGAGGAGAGGGACACUAUUCAAUCUUCACAUUUUUAACUCUAGUUUUAACAGCAAUGAAGAUUUUUCUUACUCUAAUAUAACUAGGGAUUGAAGGUAAGGGAAGAAACUGCCUUUUUACUUAGUAAAUGCUCCUACACAGACUAUAAUGCCCUUGAUAUUCGACCGUGCGUCUCGAAUGAUGAUUCUCUCUGUUGAUCUUAAUUGCUUGGCUUGACAAAAAUGCCAUGAAUAUGCUCUUUUGUUAAAUCGAGGGUCAAAACUUUUAGUUGUUGAGGCUAAAACUUUACUUAGAUAAAGUUGGAGGACCAUUGGGACUUUUUUACCUUUCAUUUAUUCUUUUUCCUUACUUUAUUUCUUUUUCCUUACUUUAUUUCUUUUUCUCUUUCAUUUUUCUUCUCUCUUCCGUCCUUCCUAAUAGAAAACUUCAUCUCAAUAGAAAACUUUAUUUGGAUUUUAUAAUUGGGUUUAUGGUGAAGCUUGGAAAAUGCAUCAAAAGUUAAUUUCAAUCUUUUGUACAAUGCCAUGUGCUGCGGAUUCAAUUAAUAAUCAUUAAUGAAGGGGGAAAAAGCAAAAGACUUGAAAAGUAGAAAAAAAAACUAUUUUAGAGAAGGGUCUUGCAUACUUAAUGACCAUUUGAGAUGAAGUUUUUUUUAGGAAAGAGGAAGAAGUAAAAAAAGAACAAAGAGACACAGAAAAUAAUGAGAGAAAGGGGAAAGAAAAAAAUACAAAAGAGAGAAAAAACAAAAAAAAUGAAUUUAGAAUAAAGAGAGGUAAUUUUGUCCAAUAGGGGAUAAAAUGAGACAAAAAAAGUGGCGGUAAGGUGAAAAAUAGGGUAUACAUUAAGCGAUUAAUUGUGAUUAACCAUUAAAAUAAUGUAGACGUAGCUAUGGCAUGUCAAUCUCAGCUAAAUCUUUUUUCUCCUUUUAUGUAGCAUGUAUUUGUCAUUUCAUAUCAUAUCUAAGGGCAAAUUUAUCUGGAUUUGAGGACAUGAUUACAAUUAUUCAUAUUAGUCAAAAAUGUAUUAAUUAGUGAAGCAAAAGAUUUAGUUUGUUCUUUACUUUUGCAUCAUUUGGUUGACUAAUAGUUCUAAUGUGACAUAGAACUGGCAAGGGUGUAGGAUUCUCAUGUUCAAAAGUUGACUAAGAUUUGGUUUUGGGACAAAAAUGCAUUUUCAACAUCUUAGGGACUUAUGCAUCCUUUUAAAUGUAGGAUAUGAAAGUUUUUUUUUUUUUUUUGAAAAUGGGAGGGAUAAAAUUGGUCAAUUUUGGAAUAAUUUUAUCUUUCCUUUUUACCCCUAAUACAAUAAGUAUGUUAGCUAUUAGCUAAAAAGUUGAUCAACAUUAGGGUUUGGGACAACAUAUUGGUAUGUUUUUCAAAAUAUAAAGGAUGAUUUUGCAUUGUUUUAAAUAUGGAGAGCCAAAAAUUAUGUACUAAAAAAGUAAAGGACGACUUGGAUUAUCUUUCCGACGUAAACACUAAUCACCAAUAUUUUAAAACUUGGAUUGGACAAUCACUGGGGUGAAUACGGUAGUUAAGGUCAAUGAGUUGGUAAAAAUUCAGUGAACUUGAUGACAUGGUAUAGUAUUUAAUAUUUUAGUCAUACAUAAAAUAAAAAAGCAUUCAAAAAUAUCUCUGAAGAUAUCUCUUUUUUUAUACAUAUAUAAAUAGAAAAGCAUUCAAAACCACCCACUUAUAAUUUUUAAAUAUAUCUCUUGUUGUUUAUAGACUUUAAGUAAACAAUAACAAAUUUAUAACUAAAUUCAUUAUUUAUGUCAUGUCCAAAACCUACUUAGUAGAAAAACAGGACAAGUGAUCACACAGUAAAUGAUUUGACACUUUUAAGUCAUCUCCUUUCUUCUUUUUGCUUUUUCCUUUAUAAGAUUUAGAGUUUCCCUUGAAUAAAAAACUCAUUAAACUUAUUUGACAAAAUAUGGAAAUUUAUAAAAAAAAUUGAGAUUAAAAAAUUUCACGAGAGUAUUUAUAGUUGUCCAAAUUAUCCAAAAAUAAAAAGGAAUACUAUAAAAGUUUCGAGUAUCAAACUCAAGUCAAGAGAAUUUAAGGAAAACAUUAAAACAAGUCAAAAAAGAAACAAAAAACAGUGCACCAAAAAAUGAAAAAAAAAAAAACCCUUUUCCUAAUUUUCUUUUUCUGGUCAAAUCCGAUUUUUGACAUCAAGGCACAACAUCUAUACACUGGGCAUGUAAAAAUCCCCCGGACCUUAGCCAUAUAAUUUCCUGCAAGGUGUUUAACUAAAAUGCUGAAUGGAUAUGUGCAGCAUGGUACUCAUUUUACUUUCAUAGUAUCUAUCAAGCUGUGUCCAAGUAGUAUCUUCCAACAAUAGAUACUAGCACCAUAAACUCAUAAUAUCAAAAUCUCAUAUCUCCAAGGUUGACUUGCCAACUUUAAUCCGGUCUUCAUCGAGAAUUCCAUUUUGUAAAGCCAGGAAAGGACAGAUAGCUCUUAUAUUCCAGGCAAAGAAACAGAUCAUAUCAGAACUGUAUCACUCGUGUUCAAACUUGUGUCAAUCCUCUAUACAUUUUCUUCUUCUCAACGAUCAAGUUUCAAUUGGGUAAUGCACAAAGAAGAGCACAGAAAGCAUAUUCUGCAUGUCCCUUUUCAGCACUGGCAAAAAUCAUUUACAAGUUACAGACUAAAGUUUCUGAAGAAUGAUCAGAGGUUUCAAACCAACGAAAACAGAAUUGCAGCCAUUAACUCGAUCCACUCUGCGCUGGUUGUGAUUCAGUGCCAACUUCCUCAGGAGCCAAGGAAUUUUCAGAUGAAGGUUGUGAUUCAGUGCUAACUUCCUCAGGAGCCUUUUCAGCUGCUGGUUCAUCUGAUUCGACUGAUUUCUUGAAUUGCACUAAUAUCAUUGUCAUGUUAUCACAUCCUUCACCUCCAGCUGUAGAUGGCGCAAGACACCUAUCAAGUACCCUUUCACAUACCACGGAAAGCUUUGUCUC